rnacentral:sRNA from 1 species
NNNNNNNNNNNNNNNGUGUAGUUGUUUCAUUGUUAUAGUAAACAUCCUCCACAUUUUCACCUUUCAAGUAAUUGCAAAAUAAUUUUUUGAAACAUAAGGAGGAUUUUCUAUCAUGGAAACAGGUACAGUAAAAUGGUUUAACUCAGACAAAGGUUUUGGAUUUAUCACUGCUGAAAACGGAAACGACGUAUUCGUUCAUUUCUCAGCUAUCCAAGGCGACGGAUUCAAAACUUUAGAAGAAGGUCAAGCAGUUACUUUCGACAUCGAAGACGGACAACGCGGACCUCAAGCAACUAACGUAAACAAAGCUUAAUUCAAAUUAAACUUUUAGCCUGACUUCGGUCAGGCUUUU